UUGGUUUUAACGAGAGAGCGGCAGCUGCAGCGCCUGGAUUGCCUGCUGACUCCACACCCAUAUGAGCUCUCUACGCAGGGUUUCAAAAACCCUAAAAUCAACAAAAUGUCUCUCUCAGCUACUACCAUAUUCAAAAUUCACUCCAUUUCCUUCUAUAUUCAGAUUAAACGACCAUCGUUUGGAGCUAACGCGUGCGUGUUGCUCUAAUUCGCGCCAAAAUAGCAAAGAGAACAGCAUAGAUUUGAGCCAGUUUCCGGCGGAGAGAAUCAGAAACUUCUCGAUAAUCGCUCACGUCGACCAUGGCAAGUCAACGCUCGCUGACCGGCUUUUGGAGCUCACUGCAACGAUCAAGAGAGGCCAUGGCCAGCCACAGUACCUGGAUAAGUUGCAGGUAGAGAGAGAAAGGGGAAUAACUGUUAAAGCUCAGACAGCUACCAUGUUCCACAAGUACAACUUCCAUGGCCCCAAUGUUGCUGAUGCACAUGAUCCACCAACAUUUCUACUAAACCUAAUUGAUACACCUGGUCAUGUUGAUUUCAGCUAUGAAGUAUCAAGAUCCUUAGCAGCUUGCCAAGGUGCCCUUUUGGUUGUUGAUGCUGCCCAAGGUGUUCAGGCACAAACUGUAGCUAACUUCUAUUUGGCUUUUGAAUCAAACCUGACAAUAAUACCCAUCAUAAACAAAAUAGAUCAGCCAACUGCAGAUCCUGAUCGGGUCACAGCUCAACUAAAAUCAAUGUUUGAUCUUGAACCUAAUGAUUGCCUUUUAACAUCUGCCAAAACAGGGCAGGGCCUUGAGCAAGUCCUUCCUGCAGUCAUAGAACGGAUACCUCCUCCUCCUGGGAAUAGUGAUUCACCUCUGCGUAUGCUUUUGCUGGAUUCCUAUUAUGAUGAAUACAGGGGAGUGAUCUGUCAUGUUGCAGUUGUGGAUGGCAUGCUGCGGAAGGGAGAUAAGAUCUCAUCUGCAGCAACUGGCAAUGCAUAUGAAAUUCUGGAUGUUGGGAUCAUGCAUCCUGAACUCACCCCAACUGGAGUUCUUCUAACUGGACAAGUGGGAUAUGUGGUGAGCGGCAUGAGAUCCACUAAAGAAGCACGUGUUGGAGACACUCUAUAUCAUAGCCGACAUGUUGUAGAACCUCUACCAGGUUUUAAGCCUGCAAAACAUAUGGUAUUCUCUGGUCUUUACCCAGCUGAUGGAUCUGAUUUUGAAGCACUUAACCAUGCAAUAGAGAGACUGACAUGCAAUGAUGCAAGCGUCUCUGUUACUAAAGAGAGUAGUUCUGCACUUGGUCUGGGUUUCAGGUGCGGUUUCUUAGGGUUACUCCACAUGGAUGUUUUUCAUCAGCGGCUUGAACAGGAAUAUGGAGCUCAUGUCAUUUCUACUAUUCCAACUGUUCCAUAUAUUUUUGAGUAUUCGGAUGGAAGCAAAGUACAAGUUCAGAAUCCUGCUGCAUUACCCUCAAAUCCCAAGCAACGAGUUACGGCUAGUUGGGAACCUACUGUCAUAGCUACAAUUAUCAUCCCUAGUGAGUAUGUGGGGCCUGUUAUUACCCUUUGCUCUGAGCGGAGAGGACAGCAAUUGGAGUAUUCGUUCAUCGAUAGCCAACGAGCCUUUAUGAAGUAUCGCCUACCUUUGAAGGAAAUUGUUGUUGAUUUUUACAAUGAAUUGAAGAGUAUAACGUCAGGAUAUGCAUCAUUUGACUAUGAGGAUUCAGAUUAUCAAGAAGCUGAUUUGGUAAAACUUGAUAUCCUCCUAAAUGGACUACCAGUUGAUGCUAUGGCAACCAUUGUUCAUAAGUUGAAGGCACAACGUGUUGGUCGUGAGCUGGUAGAGAAGCUGAAGAAGUUCAUUGAUAGGCAAAUGUUUGAGAUAACGAUACAAGCUGCAAUUGGAUCAAAGGUUAUUGCAAGGGAAACGAUUUCGGCUAUGAGAAAGAAUGUUCUUGCAAAGUGUUAUGGUGGAGAUGUUACUCGGAAAAGGAAGCUUUUGGAAAAACAGAAGGAAGGCAAGAAGCGAAUGAAGCGUAUUGGUUCUGUUGAUAUACCACAGGAGGCUUUCCAUCAAUUGUUGAAAGUUCAAUAGAGAAAUAUGUCAAAUGAUUGGCCAUAUUUAUGAUGGUGAUGGUAAGUUCAUAAUUGUAGUAUCCAAAAAAUAAAACCUGCAGUGUUCUCUGGAUCAUAUGAUAGAGAGAAGCCUUAGCUUUUGCUCAGCACUAUGCUGCUUGCUGCAAAUUAUUUUUGUUAUUUUUUUUUGUCCAACUAUGAGAGAGGGGGAGUCCCAGAUUUUCAGACCAAAAAGUUAUUAAGGUGAUGCCACACUGUUUGGAAACUAGGAAAAACAAAAGGCAUAUGAAACACAAUAAUUCUGCUCUGGUCUUGCAAGGGAUUCUUUAUAGAGAAACUUUUGAGUAUUGUUUUGUAGGCAGGCUUUUCAAUUUUUCUAGCAGAACUGACCAUUAUUUUCCUGGUAAAUACUGGAUUUACCCCAUCAAUUGUGCACAAUGUAUUUUAAAUGUCUAGUUAGUAAGGUUAAGCCAAAGGUAUUAUCGUUCUGUGACUCCUUGUUUUGAAUUCAGCUUAUUUAUUUAUUUGAAGCAUUUCUAGAUACGAACAACUUUAGAAUGGCAACAAAUUUGUACCCGGAAAGUCUUGCACUUGGUUUAAUGAUCUCAACCCUUCGUUCACAAGAGGCAGACGCUGGAGUCUGAUUGGAGAAAAGGCUUUGUAACUUCAGCUUGAUAAGGAAGUAAUCUGUACUACGCCCCUGCGAGCCCUAGCUCUAGAUCACAGGGAAUGGGCAGAGGUGAAAUUUUCAUCAUCUUUUGCAGACGCUUUGAAUUUGUGCGAUGAAUUUCAAACUGUGAACCAUCAAUAUCUGACAAGGUCAUUAAAUCAGGGGUCUGUGCGAGAGAAUCUUCUGGAAGCAUACCGCAACCCUUCCUUGCUCCAAAACAAAAUAAAGUUGUGAUUUGCAAUUGUCUAUAUUUCUAUUAUGAAAAGGUAAUGAUUCUUGCUCUGUUUCGUGGUUUAUCGCAUUCUGGUCUACUACAAGCAGAAGGUGUGCAUAUACUGGCCACUGGCUUGUUUGAAUUGUGAAGUGGAUUCAGACUGGCCCAGGUCAAAUCUGCGACUGGACUGGGUCAAUCUUUCCAGUUCGUGAACCAACCCAGAACCAGGUUGUAAGAGGGCCAGUUCCCAUCCCCUCCUGGAACCUGAAUCAAAACCAGCCUAGAAUUGGUCCUAUUUAAAAAUUGUUUAUUUUUUUUAAUAUAUAUUGAAUUUAUAUUUGAGUAAAA
rnacentral:misc_RNA from 1 species